rnacentral:lncRNA from 1 species
UCUUCUCCUCUUUUCUCCCAAAGUUUACAUUUCUCAGUUUCUAUCCCAAAUCCCUUUUUCUAUUCUUUUUAUUAUAAUUCUUAUUAUUUUAUUAACUUAUUAUAUCAUCACUAUUUUCUUAAUAAUAAUAAUAAUAAUAGUAAUAAUCCACUCAAAUUAAAUAAUUAAAUUAAUAUUCAUAUAAUAUUAAUUAAUUAAAUAAAUAAUAACUAAUAUGAUAAAUUAGUUUUACUCACCACACCACCCUUUCUACAUGUUUGCUCACACACUUUCCAAC